UUCACCGCUACUUGGGGCCCCAGACACCCCCCUCCAAACCCGCUCGCCGCCCACGUGUGCCCAGAGCAGCUGUUCCUCCACCGGAGACCUCGCCAUUGGGAAGCUCGGAUCGGGCCUGUUCUGAUUCGAGCGGGGUGACCUUGUGUCAGACCCCUCCCCUCUCCGGACCUCUUUCUCCGUGGACACCCAGCGCAGCUCGUUACACAACCCCCCAGGCCCGGUUCCCGCAACUGAAAAGUCUAAAGAAUAAUGAAGGUCAGGAGCCUCAGGUAAGCUGACCCCAGGAUCACCUGGAGAUGGAUGUGGCCAGAGCCUAAGGCUGAAGCAGUGACCUGGCUCCGGGCCUGUCCUUACCUGCUCCCUGAGAGACAGCUUCCACACCCUUUGGCAGGCAUGAAUCAUUUCAGAAAUCACCUCCUGACAAAUCAACAUACAAUAAGUGCUGGCAAGGAUGCAGAGAAAAAGGAACCCUCGUUCACUGCUGGUGGGAAUGCAGACUGGUGCAGCCACUGUGGAGAAAGGUAUG